GAUGUGAUGGUUGUGUGUGCAAAAACAUUAAUUAUGCACAUGUUGAAACGUUAAUAACCUUAAUUUAAUUCAUUUCCAUUUCAUCUGUCCUCAUAGAUUAGUUAUAUGACCUAAUGUCAUUAAGUUUCAGAAUCCUAAAGCCAGCCCUUCUGGUCUAACUAAAAGCAGAUGUUGGGUUAACUUGUGUUUAUGUUCUUGAGCACAUUCCUUUUUACCUCCUCCAUGUGUCUGCCCUGCUGUGGCUGUACCUCGGCUCAGUGUCUACACAGCUGGAGCCCAGAGCAGUGACUUGGCUGUUAGAACCUCAACAGAGAUCCAUUUCGCUAGUCCCCACGGGGGUCACGGACGUGCUGGAGCCUAUCCCAGCAGUCAUCGGGCAGUAGACGGGGGACACCCUGAACUGGUUCCCAGCCAAUCGCAGGGCACACCGAGACAAACAACCAUCCGCACUCGCACUUAGGGGCAAUUGUACAAUUUAGAGUGCUCAGUCAAUAUACCAUGCUUGUUUUUUAGGAUGUGAGAGGAAACCGGAGUGCCCGGAGAAAACCCACGCAGGCACGGGUAGAACAUGCAAACUCCGCACAGGAAGGUCCGGAGGUGGAAUCGAAUCUGCACCCUCCUAACUGUGAGGCAGACGUUCUAACCAGUGUUCCUCCAUGUUACCUUAUAUAUAUGUAGGCAUUUUCAUAAAAUAAAUGACUAUCUAAACAUUUGAA